UCAUCGUCUCUUGUCUUUCCUCAUGAACACAUAUCCAUCUUUCACAGCACUGCAGUGAGGCAAGCUGUCCCAACCUGUCUCUUCUGUUCUAAUAAUGUCGUACCUCUGUGACCUCAUGCAUAGUUCUGGUUUGUCCUACUCACUUCGUGGGGACCAAGAAGAUAUCCCUUGGGCCUAUGCUCAACCCCCAGAACCAUGAAGGCACUCCUGAUAUGCAACAGGUCUCCCGUGGCAGUCUUGUCAGUGCUCACAUGGAUGAGUAACAAGAGAUAAUAAUAAUAAAUGAGCCAAAUGAGCCUCAGAAGUUUCUCCUCAACAUCCUUGAUCAAAACCCCCAGCAAGCACCAAAUCUCCCCAGAAAGCAGGUCAAGUCAACAGAAGAGGAGGAAAGGAGUCUCCAAAUACCUUUCCUCUACAGGAAGGAAGGUCUCCAAAUACCAUUACCCACUACUUUUUGGUGCCUGCAUGUGGGUACAGCCUGGCCAACUCUGAUGGCUGACCUUAUCUGCUGAUGUUUUAAAUAAACCUACUAUUUUAAUAC